rnacentral:piRNA from 1 species
AUGGAUUCUUUGAGAUGGACUGGAGAU